AGUGAACGCUGGCGGUAGGCCUAACACAUGCAAGUCGAACGGCAGCACAGUAAGAGCUUGCUCUUACGGGUGGCGAGUGGCGGACGGGUGAGGAAUACAUCGGAAUCUACUUUUUCGUGGGGGAUAACGUAGGGAAACUUACGCUAAUACCGCAUACGACCUACGGGUGAAAGCAGGGGAUCUUCGGACCUUGCGCGAUUGAAUGAGUCGAUGUCGGAUUAGCUAGUUGGCGGGGUAAAGGCCCACCAAGGCGACGAUCCGUAGCUGGUCUGAGAGGAUGAGAGGCCACACGGGAACUGAGAAGCGGCCCAGACCCCUCGGGGAGGAGGAGGGGGGGAAUAUUGAAAAAGGGGCGAAGGCUGGAUCCAGCCUUCCCGGGGGGGGAAAAAAGGCUUUCGGUUUUAAAGCCCUUUUUGUUGGAAAAAAAAAGAAGCAGGUAAAUCCCCCGCUGUCCGGAGGGUACCAAAAAAAAAAGCCCGGGCAACCUUGGGG
rnacentral:rRNA from 1 species